rnacentral:rRNA from 1 species
AACGAACGCUGGCGGCGUGCCUAAUACAUGCAAGUCGAGCGGACAGAAGGGAGCUUGCUCCCGGAAGUUAGCGGCGGACGGGUGAGUAACACGUGGGCAACCUACCCUGUAGAUCGGGAUAACAUCGAGAAAUCGGUGCUAAUACCGGAUAAUCAUUUGAAGUGCAUGCUUCGAAUGUAAAAGAUGGCUCCGGCUAUCACUACGGGAUGGGCCCUCGGCGCAUUAGCUAGUUGGUAAGGUAAUGGCUUACCAAGGCAACGAUGCGUAGCCGACCUGAGAGGGUGAUCGGCCACACUGGGACUGAGGCACGGCCCAGACUCCUACGGGAGGCAGCAGUAGGGAAUCUUCCGCAAUGGACGAAAGUCUGACGGAGCAACGCCGCGUGAGUGAUGAAGGUUUUCGGAUCGUAAAGCUCUGUUGUUAGGGAAGAACAAGUGCCGUUUGAAUAAGGCGGCACCUUGACGGUACCUAACCAGAAAGCCACGGCUAACUACGUGCCAGCAGCCGCCGUAAGAC